rnacentral:tRNA from 1 species
UUCCCUGUGGCUCAGCUGGUAAAGAAUCUGCCUGGAAUGUAGGAGACCUGGGUUCGAUCCCUGGCUUGGGAA